AUUGAACGCUGGCGGCAGGCCUAACACAUGCAAGUCGAGCGGAUGAAGGGAGCUUGCUCCUGGAUUCAGCGGCGGACGGGUGAGUAAUGCCUAGGAAUCUGCCUGGUAGUGGGGGAUAACGUCCGGAAACGGGCGCUAAUACCGCAUACGUCCUGAGGGAGAAAGUGGGGGAUCUUCGGACCUCACGCUAUCAGAUGAGCCUAGGUCGGAUUAGCUAGUUGGUGGGGUAAAGGCCUACCAAGGCGACGAUCCGUAACUGGUCUGAGAGGAUGAUCAGUCACACUGGAACUGAGACACGGUCCAGACUCCUGCGGGAGGCAGCAGUGGGGAAUAUUGGACAAUGGGCGAAAGCCUGAUCCAGCCAUGCCGCGUGUGUGAAGAAGGUCUUCGGAUUGUAAAGCACUUUAAGUUGGGAGGAAGGGCAGUAAGUUAAUACCUUGCUGUUUUGACGGUACCAACAGAAUAAGCACCGGCUAACUUCGUG
rnacentral:rRNA from 1 species